CCAGUGGCGAAGGCGACUUUCUGGACAACAACUGACGCUGAGGCACGAAAGCGUGGGUAGCAAACAGGAUUAGAUACCCUGGUAGUCCACGCCGUAAACGAUGGAUACUAGGGGUUGGCAAGAAAAUUGUCAGUCCCGAAGUUAACGCGAUAAGUAUCCCACCUGGGGAGUACGACCGCAAGGUUAAAACUCAAAGGAAUUGACGGGGGUCCGCACAAGCAGUGGGGUAUGUGGUUUAAUUCGACGCAACGCGAAGAACCUUACCAGGGCUUGACAUAUACAGGAAUAUAUAAGAGAUUAUAUAGCUCUACGGAGUCUGUAUACAGGUGGUGCAUGGUUGUCGUCAGCUCGUGUCGUGAGAUGUUGGGUUAAGUCCCGUAACGAGCGCAACCCUUAUGAUUAGUUGCUAACAUUCAGUUGAGGACUCUAAUCAGACUGCCGUUGAUAAAACGGAGGAAGGUGGGGACGACGUCAAAUCAUCAUGCUCCUUAUGUCCUGGGCUACACACGUACUACAAUGGGCAAGACAGAGGGCAGCGAAGCGGUGACGCUAAGCAAAUCCCAAAACUUGUUCUCAGUUCGGAUUGAAGUCUGAAACUCGACUUCAUGAAGCUGGAAUUGCUAGUAAUGGCAGGUCAGCAUACUGCCGUGAAUACGUUCCCGGGCCUUGUACACACCGCCCGUCACACCAUGAGAGUUGGGAAUACCCGAAGCCUGUGAGCUAACCUAUAUGGAGGCAGCAGUCGAAGGUAGAAUCAAUGAUUGGGGUGAAGUCGUAACAAGGUAGCCGUAUCGGAAGG
rnacentral:rRNA from 1 species